rnacentral:rRNA from 13 species
ACGACCAUACCUGCAGUAGAAUACGGGAUCCCGUCCGCUCUCCCAUAGUCAAGCCUGCAAGGGGCGGAUUAGUAGUUGGGUCGGUGACGACCAGCGAAUCCCCGCUGUUGUAUGUU